rnacentral:rRNA from 1 species
UACAGAGGUCCCGAGCGUUGUUCGGAUUCAUUGGGCGUAAAGGGUGCGUAGGUGGCGCUGUAAGUGGGGUGUGAAAUCCCGGGGCUUAACUCCGGAACUGCAUUCCAUACUGCGGUGCUUGAGGACUGGAGAGGAGACUGGAAGUUUACGGUGUAGCAGUGAAAUGCGUAGAGAUCGUAAGGAAGACCAGUGGCGAAGGCGGGUCUCGUGGACAGUUCCUGACACUGAGACACGAAGGCCAGGGAGCAAACGGG